rnacentral:rRNA from 1 species
AUUGAACGCUGGCGGCAGGCCUAACACAUGCAAGUCGAGCGACCGGCGGACGGGUGAGUAAUGUAUGGGGACUGCCCGUUGGAGGGGGAUAACUACUGGAAGCGGUAGCUAAUACCGCAUACUACAGGAUAACCCAUAUGGGAUUAGCUAGUAGGUGAGGUAAUGGCUCACGUAGGCGACGAUCCCUAGCUGGUCUGAGAGGAUGAUCAGCCACACUGGAACUGAGACACGGCCCAGACUCCUACGGAGGCAGCAGUGGGGAAUAUUGGACAAUGGGCGCAAGCCUGAUGCAGCCAUGCCGCGUGUAUGAAGAAGGCCCUAGGGUUGUAAAGUACUUUAAGUCGGGAGGCGUUACCGACAGAAGAAGCACCGGCUAACUCCGUGCCAGCAGCCGCGGUAAUUC